UACAGAGGGUGCUAGCGUUGUUCGGAAUCAUUGGGCGUAAAGGGCGUGUAGGCGGUUUGCUAAGUCAUGUGUGAAAUCCCUCGGCUCAACCGGGGAACGACGCAUGAAACUGACAAGCUAGAGUACCAAAGAGGGGGAUGGAAUUCCGCGUGUAGCAGUGAAAUGCGUAGAUAUGCGGAGGAACACCGAUGGCGAAGGCAAUCCCCUGGGCCUGCACUGACGCUCAUGCACGAAAGCGUGGGGAGCAAACAGG
rnacentral:rRNA from 1 species